UACGGGAGGCAGCAGUGGGGAAUAUUGCACAAUGGGCGAAAGCCUGAUGCAGCUAUGCCGCGUGUAUGAAGAAGGCCUUAGGGUUGUAAAGUACUUUCAUCGGGGAGGAAAAAACAAAACUAAUAAUUUUAUUUCUUGACGUUACCCGAAAAAGAAGCACCGGCUAACUCCGUGCCAGCAGCCGCGGUAAUACGGAGGGUGCUAGCGUUAAUCAGAAUUACUGGGCGUAAAGAGCACGUAGGUGGUUUUUUUAAAGUCAGAUGUGAAAUCCCUGGGCUUUAACCUGGAACUGCAUUUUGAAACUGAAAUACUAGAGUAUCGUAGAGGGAGGUAGAAUUCUAGGUGUAGCGGUGAAAUGCGCAGAUAUCUGGAGGAAUACCUGUGGCGAAAGCGGCCUCCUAAACGAAUACUGACACUGAGGUGCGAAAGCGUGGGGAGCAAACAGGGAUUAGAUACC
rnacentral:rRNA from 1 species